UACGUAGGGUGCGAGCGUUAAUCGGAAUUACUGGGCGUAAAGCGUGCACAGGCGGUUUUGUAAGCCAGAUGUGAAAGCCCCGGGCUUAACCUGGGAAUGGCAUUUGGGACUGCAAGGCUUGAGUGCGGCAGAGGAGACUGGAAUUCCUGGUGUAGCAGUGAAAUGCGUAGAUAUCAGGAGGAAUACCGAUGGCGAAGGCAGGUCUCUGGGCUGACACUGACGCUCAUGCACGAAAGCGUGGGGAGCAAGCAGG
rnacentral:rRNA from 1 species